rnacentral:rRNA from 1 species
GAUUUCUGGUGUGGAAGCACUGGCCCGCCUCUUCGGAGGUGUGUUGCCGGCUGCUUUCAGCCAUCCUUCUAGUUAACCGUUCUAACCUUCACUGGCUUGGGACGGUGAGCUAGAUCUUUUACUUUGAAAAAAUUAGAGUGUUCAAAGCAGGCUUACCGCUGUGAAUACAUUAGCAUGGAAUAAUAAGAUAGGACUUCGGUUUUAUUUUGUUGGUUUCUAGGACUGAAGUAAUGAUUGAUAGGGAUAGUUGGGGGUGCUAGUAUUCAAUGGCCAGAGGUGAAAUUCUUGGAUUCAUUGAAGACUAACUUAUGCGAAAGCAUU